rnacentral:lncRNA from 1 species
ACAACUUUAUCAUGUUGAAAUGAAAACCCAGAAGCACCAACUGUUUGAAUAGCAGGAAAACAUUCAGGAGAGCUCUGUGAAAGGUGAUUUUUACCAUAAUAAUCAUAUUGUGUAGGCUUCAUGGUACUGGUGGUGUUAUAUGCUCCAGAUGACAGGCCAGAGAAGUCCUUAGAAUGAUGAUCAUGAGGAAGGGAAGAUCUCUUGAGGAACUUACGGUUCCCAUCAAUGCCAAUUGGUGCACCAGACGGCAAUUGUGCAUCCAUGAGGCUAAGUAGAUGCAUAGCUGGAAUGGUUUCAUUAGAAUACACAUCUAGAGGCCUUGAUCUGCUAUGUUUGCAAGCAAAUGGAUACUCUGCAUGUGGCCUGCUGAGAGAUUCAGAGUCGAAGGUCCUACUAUGCUUUUCAAUAUUGGUGACAUCAAUGUUCCAAAAGUUCAGAUCAUGAUUCCCAUCCACAUUACCCUUGUGCAGACUAGGACAAUGAGAAAGCAUGUCUGCAUUUGUAGAUUGACUGGCAUGCUUUUGAUGAAUAUCAUAUAUAAAGGGCGGGAUCAUGGAUGACCAAAGAUGAGCAGUUUCUUUACCCUGUUGUGGAACAUUCUGGCAUGAGUUACAACCUCCCAAUGUCUGCAAAUUAGUCUGAGAGGUCCUGUGCCCCAAUAUAUUCCCAAUCCAUUGGCAAUUUUGAGAAAUACGAUGUUUGCUGGAACUUGUAUCAGAAAAUUUGAUUCCAUUUGGUAGUUUUCCUUGACAAUGAGCAAAUGGCAUAAAUCCUGAAGCGCAAUGAGUUUGUUCCAAUGGGCUCACGUUAAAAUGCUUUCUACCAAUAUGAGGGAGGCAAUCAACUGACUUUCGUUUCCUAGUUCCACCAUUUUCAGGUCUUGCAAUCUUGCCAUUUCUACCAAUUUUAGCUAGAGGUUUUGGUUUUUGAGGAGUCUCAUUGGACAAAAAACUCAACUUCUCUUUUGCAUAAAUCGGAGCAUUACUGUGGUUGAUGGUAGUUUCUAGCAUUUUUUCAUUUUCAACAUCAGGUAGACACCUCUCAUACUGAUUCUUUGCCAUCAGUUCAACAAUUUCCAUAGGUAUGUCGUCUGGAACUCCCUGUUCAGACACUUUAUCAGCUUGUUGAUCACUAGGUUUCAUAGUCAAAGCUGAAUGUUCAUUGAUUUCUGUAGAUUUCCCUUUGUUACCUCUACUGCAAAAAUCCUGCAAAUAGUAGUUAUCAUUGUCUCAGAACAAAGUGUACCAAAAGCACUGACAUGUCAUAUUCACAGAGACAACAGAAAAAUCCAGAAGGGCAACCAAAAAUAGAUGGGCAAAAUUUGCUGACACAAAGCUCAAAAGGGACUCCAUAAACAUUUUACAGUGCCAAACCACUAAAUGUUGAGGCAGUGAUGUAUUUUUUUUGGUUCAUAACUGGGAAAAUUUUGCUGAUCCAAAGUUUGGGUUUGGUUUGCACUCAACAAGACCUUGUACACAUCAUUUCCAAUGAACUAUUCAAUAAAGAAACAUAAGACAAAAACUCCCCCAGCAUUAAUAAUAUAUAGAGCAGGGACUGAUCACUAUACAACAAAAUAAUAUCAAAAAAGGCUAAAGGUGAGCUAAAUAAAACUUAAAAAAAAAUGAAGCAAUUCUCCUUCAACUAAGAUGCUAAACAGAAAUAUAACAGAAACUCAAUACAGCAGCACCAAAAAGACAAGGAUAGCUCAUACCAUUGGCUGCAUCAGAGAACGACCCCCAGCAUCCACCUGAGGAGUGAACUUCUGCUUUUCAUUUAGGAAAGACAUUCUAUAAUUUUCCCUACUGAGAUCACAAUGUACUCCCUUUCGAAGAAAUGAAACUGAUUCUGAUUUAGAAUGAUAAUCGGAAUCCCCUACACAGUUUGUCUGGAUAUCUUUUCCCAUGACCCCAUUUUCUUUUGAACUACCCCCUCGCCAAGGAAACUGACUGUGUUCUAGUGGAGAAAAAUAUUUGCUUUCAUAUCCUUGUGUGGUGAAGCAGCUAUUUAGAGAAAGUUGCAGCCCUUUUCCAGUGGUGGCAUCUUGUGAUGAUUGAAACGGAGAAAUUGUUGAAUGCAUCUGCUUGAUCUCUACAUCUUUUCUUCUUGCUGGACCUUCUUUCAGCAUGUCACUACUCCAAGGGAUUAGAGGAGCCUGCCAUUCAUCAAAUUGGGUCGUCUUGCUUUUCUUCUUGCACACACUAGAACUUCUCUCUGACUUCUGAGGAGGCAAAGCAAAAGGAUACAUUCCCCUGCUUAUAAAUGCAGUUUGUGCCGAUUCCAACAAGAAAGAAUCAGAAGGACUGUCGUUGUUAGAAUCUCCAGUUCUAUCUUGCAUAUCUUCUAGCAUAUUUCCUCCGGACGGUGCUAAGGACAAAAAUUCAUCAGCAACCAGGCUCUUAUUUCUCUUCUUACCUAUAGGACUUCUAUCAAACCUGAAUUUGUUCAAACGGCUGUUUACACCAAUAUGUAGGUCUAUAUCAGCAUCUUCUUUUGUAUCCAAACUUGCCAGUGCACCAAUGGUUUCUGCACUUUCAGUGCAGGUACUAUUUUUUCUAUGGAAAUUAUUCGGGGAGCUUUUUUCUAAGGGAUCCGGUUCUUCAUCAUGAGGGAACUUCCUUUUCUUAUUUUGAUCCAAAGGCCUAAUAGAAUUUCCUUGGGCAGCCACCAGACCCUGGGGAUCAGAGAGUAUAUCUAUCCCUGCAGACGAACCAGGAACAGAAUUGGAGGGAGAACUUUCAGUCAUGGUUAGAUUAGCUUUUAUAUCCCCAUUUUCAGCCAACAACUCAGUCAGCAGACGCACUUUUCUGGUUUUUCUUCGAUGUGAACCACUUGAGCUAUCAUGAUGAUGGUCCUGCAGAUCAUGUCCAGACAAUGUCUCAUCACUAUCAGAUGGUGCAUUAUCACACUCAUCUAGUUCAUGAGAAGGAUGUUCAAUUGCAAGAUCCUUGGCAGCAGCAAGCACCUCAUCAACCAUACCAACUACUCUGGAUGGCCCACAAGCUAUCAUUAACUUCUUAUUUUUUUCCUCCGCAGAAGGUUGUUUACCUGUUUGACAAAUUUCAACGGAAUUCUUAAACAUGUAUUUGAGUUUUUCAUUAGAAAGCUCCAUCUCAGCAGCUUCAUGACUUUCACAGUUAGGUUUGCAGUAUUUGCAACAAAUCCAUUGCAAUUUGUCUUGAGAGAUACUAUUUUAUAAAUCACAACUAUUAUCAUAGCAACAAGUACACUUCCAGCUUCAGUUUAGAAGCUGGUAGUAUUAUGUAGCAUACUUGAUUAGCAAUUCCAAAUAAUUUUACCUAUUUCAACAGCAUGAUGUCUUCCUGUCAUUAACCCAGAAGUAACAGCUGUUGGGGCACCAGCUGAUUCAAGAACUUCAUGAUUCAUCUUAUCUUCAGGACAACUCUCAUCCACUGGGGGAAAAAAAAUUCAAACAGAUAAUCCAACAUAGAGAAUAAGUUAGCAUAAUGGAAUGAAACCUUGUAUUAAACUAUACCUGUGGCAGGAGUGUUAGUGGGUUCAGAUUUCUUUCUAUUCUUGUCAUCGUGUGAUGGAAGACAGCAGUCAUUGACAUUCAGGUCAGUGGCAAUACUAGCAGUAGCAUCAAAUUUUCUUCCAGCAGAAAUAUUCAGUUUUCGAGCUUGCCCAAUAGCUGAUUGCAGCAUUGCAGCAUCCCCAAAGGAUGACAUAUGGGGACAAGUCCCAGUGGAUUUAAAACUAGUACUGCUACAAUAAUUACAGCUAUUUCCAUAACCAUAAGUGUUACCUUCAGAACCCAGUUCCUGUAAGCAGUUUUGGCAACGCCACCAUCUGAACUUUGCAACAUGUAAGGGAGGAAGUGCAUGUGCUUCCUCCUCAGGUUUAUUAUGAUUCUCAUCUAAAGCAAAUGGCCAACAUAACUUCCAGUUUUUCUUCCGAACUUCAGACACAAAUCCACUGCACUCAAACAAGGAGAAUGUGUAAGGAAAUCUUCCAAUGUGAAUGCUCAAGUCAAUAUUCUAUGUCAAACACAAAACUAACACUUGACAAAAUAACUCUCUACACAAUUGCAAACUUAUAUCUGACAUGUAAUCUCCUUAGCUGUCCAGAUUAAAUCAGCAACUUAUCUGUAAUAUGAAUAUUUUCACAACUGUCCUUGCUGCCACCAAAUUAGCUUAGGUCUCUCAAUUUUUUAUUUACACUAAAAAAAAAAAUCUCCAUUGUUGAAAAAUAACAUGCUCAUAUUUCGUCAUCAGGUGUAUAUCAGAAACAUACACACUAAAAAUUCACAAACAAAAACUACAUGCGACUGGAUGUGACAGAAAUUCGCUUGAGCCUGCAGUGUUAAUGCACAGCACAUGCACAACACAUAACUGCAAAGAAAACUUUGGAGUCAUAGUCAUAUUAAAUUGAGAAAGCUUACCGUAUAGAAAAAUGCUCACACUUUCCUGCAUUAGCUUCAUCAUUAUUAACAAGAUCUAUGGAUAUCGAGUCAAUCUUAACAGAUGAUCCCACAGAUUUUGAGACAAGAUCCGAGUCAUCAACCUGAUGAUUCUCCUCCCCCACAAUGUUUCUCUCCAUAUUAUUAGCAACUAAUGCGCAACCUGAACCUAUUCAAUCUGCUACGCACACAAAUCCGAAUAUUAUUUAGUUACAACAUUACCAUGUGCUAAUAUAGGUUAGUAGGCUACAGUUUGAUGAUAUCAGUACACAUGGAAAGCAAUAGUAAACAUCUUGAGUGAUCAAGUACACAAAAAGAUCUAAGGCAAGGUAUCAAACAACAAAGUUUUGAGUCUACCACAAACCAACAAUAAGGGAAACAGGUUGAAACGCCAGUAUGUAAAGUGAUUCGACACAUAAAAUAGCAUCUAGUAUAAACAAAGCACUUAAUACUCAAAAGGAACAAGAUUUGAAACCCUAGUUUUCAAUGAAAUCAAAAGUGAACAUGUUUGCAGUCACUAAUUGCAUGCUUUAAUUACAUUACUAUAACCUAUGUAGCUAAACCAAGUCAUUAUAGAUGGAAAGUAAAUCAAUAAAAUAACACAGCUAAGACAAACCCAACUUAGGGUUUCUAAGAUGAAUCCAUAGACUGUGCCUUAAAACAAAAAGUAGUGUUAAUACUCUCAACAUAAAUGAUAUAAAACAAACCCACUUCAAUACCACCUCUAAAAAAUUCAUUACAUGGUAAAAUCAUUAGCAUCAAUUCCUAAAGAAAUAAUUAGGGUUUAUUUUAGUUUCAAAAUUCACAAACAGUGAACAGUCACUAACAUGUUGUAAUACGAUAAAACAAUCGAAACAAAACAUAAAAUAUAGCAGAAGUGAAUAGAUUCACUAACAAAAACCAAAACCCAGAUUAGAAAAUACAAAGCAAUGGCUGAACUUGACGUACGAAACACAGUGAAAUGACCAAAAUAUCUCAAACAAACGAGCUGGAGCUCGGACGAAACUAAUCCGAGUCACCUCGAAACAAAUCAGAAACGCGUAAAUGGAAACAAAACCGAUUAAUUGGAGUAAAAAAGUUACCUUUACUGAGUUGACUAGGAGUCAAAUCAAACUCACGUCGACUCGGUUCCGAUUCUCCACGGCCGGUCAUGAAACCAGCACCAUCAAAUAAAGCAUUUGACGGAGAAGAAGAAGAAAUGCGUACUGAUACGAGAUUCGAAGCUUGUUGUGUAGAAUUAGAGUGCGAAGUUUCGAGAAACCCUAGCUUUUGAAGCUCGAUUCUUUAGAGAGAGAGAGAGAGGUGAGUGUGUGCGUUAAGAAAGAGAGAGAAGGGGGGGAGAGAGAGAGACAGAGAGAAUUAUAUUAUCUUUUGUCCAAAUAACCAUGACAUGCCAUGUCAUAAACUCAUAUGUCUCCAAUUUAUUUAUUUUUUAUACAAACAACAGAUACAUACAUGUGUAGGUAUAGAGAGAGAAACAACUAAAGUUAGAGCGAGAAAGUGGAAACGGCCUAUGGAUGCUUGCCACGUUGCAAGAAGGUGCGGUUCUUAUCACAAUCCAUUUAGAAAGGAAACCCUAGAGAUGAAUAGUUGAGAGCACUAUUCACCACGCGUCGUUUACACGCUCUGUUGGGGAGGGGAUAAAAUUAAUAGUAUCUUUGCCAAGUUAUCUAGGAUCAAAUAUGCUUUAGCACAAAAAUUUGUUUUGAUUAGAUCGUGUAAUGCACGAGCGGCGAAGGAGAGUGGAGUUAGUUCGGGCAUGAAACCCUAAGUUAAUUUUCUGGCAGGUAAUGAGAAGCAAAUGAAAGGAAAUGUAGUAACCCUAGCCGAAUUUUUCAUACAUAAUAUAAAUAAAUGAAUAAAUAUCUAACCCUAAAGCCCUGCCCUGGCCUAGUAAAAUACAAGAUCAAAUUGUGGCCAAUCAUGGAAAUGCCACACUAGCUAAGAUAAUGAAACUAUUUUUUUUUUAAUUUUAUUUUUGGGUUUUGCCAUUUAGUUGUAAUAAAAGUGAGUGAGUGAGCGACACAACUCAACACAAUUAUAAUAUUGUCAUCCCCCAACAUUUAUAUUAAUCCACUUAAUGCAGUAACUGUUAUCAUUUAACAUCGAAACUUUAAACUCAUCAUCUUCUCUAAAAAGCAUAAUCUCUCAGCGUCAUAUAAAUAAUAGAUCAAGAGGAUGAUUGCUUCACUUGUCAAUAUUCUUGUUGAUUAAUGUGUUUAAUUCAUGUGAAUUAUUGGAGUGAACAUUGCAUUAUUUCUUUCUUUUUUUUUGGGUUGGUUAUUUGUAUGUUAAUUAGUUGAAUAUUUGAAGGAUAGAAAUUAGAGAGACAGAUAAAGAGAUCAUUCAUUAGGCAUAGGUAGUAGGGGUCCCUUUGUUACCAUUGGAUUUGAGCGCCAAUGUUCAGGUAUCAUUCAGCAAUAAAAGCUAAGCAAAUGAAUGGGAGAAAAAAACAACAACAAACGGUUUUCUUGCACAAAUCCCAAAAAUAAUGUCACGUAAUUGUUAACAAGAAUAAUAGCACACACGAAUUUCAUUUCUGAUCAUAACAUAGGUUUUUCUUUUUUCCAUUGAUGGUAUGUCAAGAAUGUAACAUUGUUUGGUACAAUAGCGUCUUUCAUUCUCCUGGCCGCUUUUCAUUGAAUAUAUAUUUUUUAUUCUUAUGGUGUCUUCAAUUUUACAAUACCAUAUAUAAUUGUAAAUUGAGAAAUAUGAGCGAAAAUCUUAGAAGAUGAACGUUAAAAAAAAAAUUGUAAUAAAAGGUGAUUUGUAGUUUAGUCAUUCUCUUUUCAUAACUCUGAUCGCUUUUAAUCUUUUUAGAAGAUAACAUAUGUAAAAUUGAAUGCCACUUCUUUUUUUCCUCUAGCUAUUAUUGUUUUACAAGGACCACAUCAAGUUCUCCAACAACAACUUCGUUUUAAGAAUCGAUCGAUGCUUUGAUAGGGCUCUAUGAGAAGCGACAACGAGACUCAUUCAUUUUAUUGAACAAUAGAAGAGAACACUUUUAAUAAAGCGAUGCCCUUGAUUCUUCAGACUCAAAAAAAAAAAAAAAAAAUGAGUACCCUCUUUGCGUUUCAUUAGUAGUUGGUACUGCUGCAAUAGGGUCAGUGAAGCCAUUGAGAUCCGUGUUGAAUUUGGUGAAAUAUGUCACGGAUCUUUAAAAAAUAAAAAUAAAUUUAUAGCAUCUAAAAUUAGAUGAAAGGGAUACCUCAACACUUAAGGGCCCUCUACUUUCAGUGUUUGAUAUCUUGGUGUCAUCAUGCCCAUAGAUAUCUAACACAUCCCAAUAGACAAUAGAAUAAUCUCUUUUAUAAAUUAAAAACAAGUACUUCCAUAACCGAAGGCCACUGUCUCCUCCUAAAACUUAUCAAAUGUUCAUGGCUGGUAGGUAGUUGCUGCCCCCCCAAUAAACUGUUUGUACAAUUAAACGUGGGUGGAGCGUAUUCUCUAUUAGCUAGCAACCUUUUUUUGCCUUUUUCUUUUCUCAGAUGAUUAAGGGUUGAGUAAUAAAGUUAUUAAAAUGUGAUUAAAAAAAGAUGAACAAAGAAUAAUAUUGUGACAAGCGAGACUUUAUUAUAUGCAUCAGUUGUGGUCCACAAUAUAUAGCUAUUUAUAGUAGUUACAUCUAGAAAAAGGUAUUACACAAAUUGUCAAUUACUGAAGCAGCAGGGACGUUGACAUGAAUAGCGUAAGGAGCUUAAUCUCAGCCUCUGUUAACCUAAAUCCAUUAUGUUAUUUUACUUUAUUAAUUAACGGCUAAAAUUAAGCAAAUAAUAAGGAAGAAUAUAUAUAUAUUGAACCUAAACCUGUGGAAAAGCUUAAUAACUAAAGUUGUUUUCAGCUAUAUUUAUUGUUCAACCAAAUAAAUUUAAUUUUGGGUGUUAAUUCAAUAUUGUACAAACCCAGCAGGCAAUACUCAACAAACGAUAGAUUAGCUAGUUUCAUGGGGGUCAGAAUCUCUAUUAAUUAAACUGCAGCUUCUUAUUUUUAUGUCCCACGACCAGAUCACCCAUAUGCUUUAAUUUAAUUACCUUUAGAAUCAUACAGCAGGAUUUGUGUGGUUACGUUCUGCUUAAUUGAUCUUGAAGCAUAUGACUCGGUCGAUGAUUGCUUUUUUUUUUUCAGGGUAGCUGUUGGUAUGCAUUCGUUCAUUUUUACAAAUUAGCUUUCUCCAUUUUCAUUGUUAAUCCCCCUCCAAUUUUUAUUGCGUGAUUAUUAUCAAUUAUAUAGUUGACUUGCAGAAGCUCGAUGAACUACAUAUGAAUUAAAGAGAGCUUCUUUGGAGCUUAUUACUGACGGUAGUCAUCAGAUUUCCUGGACAUGGAAACGUAAUAAUUUUGAUCAUAUCAUAUAUGAUGGGUAUCUCUGAAUGAUCAUGUAUAUAUAUAUAAAGUAUAAACCUUUAAUAAAAGAAAAGAAAAGAGACACGUACGCUGAUAGACAGAUUAUAGGAAAUUUAGAUACAUACGUUUCUGAUUUUUUUUUUUUUGUUGUAAACCAUCCGGUGUCCCGCGCGAUCGCAUUCGAUCUUGACUAAUUACGUUUAUGAUAUUUGGAGCAAACAAACCCGAAAGAAAGAGAGAGAGAGCGAGAGAAAGGUGGCAAAAGCAAUAGGGGAAAAGUUUUCGCAAUGAAAAUUCAAACCCAGCCGCAGAAAUAUCGAUUAGUGCGUCAUCUGGGUCUGGGUCUUCGUCUGGUUCUGGACAUGCAAUGAUGCAAACAAGCUCCAAGCCAAGCUACGUCGUAAUGCAGACGUGAAUUAACAAGAAUACAUAUUUGUGAUUACGGGAAAUCCGGACUUAGUCCAAGACGCUGUUUACAGUUUUGUAAAUUCCGAAAAAGACAGUUUACAAUGUUGCAAAUAAAGUGUUAAAUUAACUUUAUAAAAUUGGAGAAUUAAAAGCUAAGUCAUAUCAUAUAUAAGUAGUAAAACAAUUAAUUAAUCAUAUAAAACUGUUUCAGCACAGGUUUAUUCAAAGCUAGUAGCUAUCUGUGUACAUAUAGCUAGCUACCUAGUUAGUCUGAGCCAAUAUCAAGCCUUCAUUUCCGAUCAUAUACGGAUAGAUAGAUCCAUGCACAGUGAUUUUGCAGCACCUAUGAACUUUUGCGGAUCUCCUCCUGCAUACGAAAUCUACACAGUACACCUCUCCUCUGCGUUUUUGCUUCUCAUUUUAAUGGUUGCAUCUGCAUAUAUAUAACUCAAUAUUAAUAACACACGAUCUAUUCCAUAAACAAUAAAUAAACGAUAUACCCAGUUUUUAUAUAAAAAAAAUCCACCUUUUCCUUUCUUUUUUUUCUUUCCUUUCUUUUUUUUCUUUCUUAUUUUUUAAUUUCAUUUUUUUUUUUUUUUUUUUUAUGCCAUAAAUAUGAACAAGAAAACUUUAUAGAUUAGAUCACAGGAGAAAGAUCUUUUAUGUGGGCUAUCAAAUUCAGGUGCCGCAUACCCUUUGUCCCACACACAUCUACUUUAGUUUUGUACCAUAUAUAUUUUGCUAUCCCAAAUACUGUUUCGUCCAUCAUCUAUACAUCAUGACAGAUGAAACUCUUACUCCUUAUCAAAUCGAUAAAGCAAAGAUAAAAUAAAUUAAAAUUGAUAAUUUGGAAAGCCAUUUGCAUCAUAAAAAAAAAGGUAAAGCAUCAAUUUCUGAAGGAGAUGAAUCCCACUAAGUAAAAUGAGCAUAUUGCUGACUCAAGCUUGUUAGAACAUUAGCCAUCAUUAUAUUUUCUCUAAAAGUAUAUGAGUGAUCCGAAAAUUUAUUCAAGAAAGCUGAAAACAAAAGUUUAACCACCUAAUGCAUAAGCUAAUGCAUAAGGACCGAUGUCUUUAGCUCAUUUUUUUUUUUUAAAAAAAAAAGAUAAAAGAUAUAUAAAACAUGCGGAUUGUUGAUGAGGAAAAAGUGAAACUCUCAUGUUAUUUGACUAAACUACUAGAAACUCGUUUAAUGUUUUAGAACACAUCCAAACCUCCUAUAGUGUCAAAAUUUUUACUGAUCUUACCAUUUUACACUUGAUAGUUGUUUGAUAUUAAUAAUAUGAAUACCUUUAGUUAUUAAAUUAAUUAAAUGAUUUUCUUAAUCAUUAUUAAUUGAUAAUUGUAGAAAAAAGAAAGGGAAUUGUCAUAACUUUUUUAAUUAACUCUAAAUUUUUUUUAGAAUGUAAUAAAAAAUUAAAUAUAUACACACACACAGAGGAUAAAAAGUUGAAGCAACAUAUAUCCUCAACGUAUUAUUCUCCUAAAGAUAGCAUAUGUAUAUUUAUUUCGAAUUUAAUUUUUCAAAUUCUGAAUUAAUUAGAAAAAUUAUGAUAAUUUCUUUACUUUUCUAAUAAUUUUGCAUUUAAAAUUAAUUAAUUAUGCUAAAAAUUAUUUAAUUAAUUAAAAAAUUAAAAGUAUUCAUAUUCCUAAUAUCAAACACUACCAAAAGUUAAAUGAUAAGAUCAAAAAAAAAAAAAAAUUUAACACUCGAACGAAUUUCAAUAUAUUUUAAAACUUCAAAAGAAUUUCGAUUAACUUAAUCAAACAAUUUAAUAUAGUUAUUUUCAAUUUCAGCAUACUCAAAUCCAGACCUCAUAAGAGCGAACCAUCCAUCCAGGGGUUUCAACCAAUCCCUCCCUCGUGGGACACAUGGGUUUUAAUUCUUCUUCUCGUUGUAUCUCUUUUAUUAGUGCUUGUGCUUGUCAUUUGCAAAGUCAAAUCCGUACAUAAACUCAAGCGCCAAGUUGCGGAUAUUUGUCACCACAAGUGUACUAUAAAACCUUUUAUGUGGACACAUUAAUUUUGUAUGAUUUGUCGGUUUUUUUUUAUAUUAAUUUUCCGUAAUUCACGCAAACUUAAUGCCUCUGCCAAUAUAAAUGAGAAAAUUCAUGAUGAUCAAGAAGAUAUAAUUAACGACUCACCGUCUUGAAAAUGUUAAAACUAUUAAUUGUCUAAUAUUGCGAAACAUUAGUUUGGAACGUAUAAUAUGUGUAUAUAGGUGUAAGUAUGAUAUGUAUAAUACCUUUCUUGGCCUUUAAUUGAUGUGAGUAUGAUAUAUAACGCCUUUCUCGGCCUUUGGUUAAGAUCAAGUACUGUAAGUAUGAGCCACUUCGGCCUUGGUCGAAGUGGUGGGCUGCUGCCCUCACAAGAUCAAGCCCCCACAAAAGCAUUGUGGGGCUAAAACAUUUAUAACUUUUUUUUUUUUUGCGAAAUGUAAGUGAAGUAGGGGCAUCCCUCGUCUGUAAGGACAAUUUAUCUGCCCAUGUAUUUCAUAAAAUUUAAUGUAAUCAUAUAUAUAAGUCCCAGUUAGGUAUAUCUUAUUGUAAAUAUCAGUGUACUAUUGUGAUAACAGUUGUAAAUAUUUGUAAAUAUCUGUGUAAUGCAGUAAACUGGUGUGUAACCAGUAUCAAAAAAAAAAAAUAUGUACAUUAAUGGUGUGUGUGUGUGUGUAUAGUUGACAUCUGUAAAACAUAUUACAACCAAUGUUAAGAUUAGUUAAACUCAACAAAACAUACUUAAAAAUCUAAGAGUAACAUAUAGAAAAAUAAAUAAAUUAAGCCUGCGAACAAUAUAAGAAAAUAUCAAUCACAGUGUCACUGAAUAACCUAGUGAAUCCAGUAAAAGAGAUAGUGUAUAUACACACACUAUGUUCACUUAAGAUUAUUCUCGUAUUCUAAAACGAUCAACUACUAAAAAAGAAAAAUUAAACUAAACAUUUAUAACUUAUAAAAAAAAUAUUUCAUGAAUUUUAAUUUAAAUAUACAUUCUUCUAAUCAUAUCAUGCCAUAUGAAUUUGUAUACAUAGUUUGUGUGUUUGACAAAUCUAAUCCAAAUAAUCUUGCUUAGAAAUAGCUUCAUAAUUUACCCAAAUUGAAAGAGCAGAAAUUUGAUAAUUUAAUUCAGUAGUAGCCAAGAAAGGGAAAUAAUUAACAUAGAAGAAAAUAAUUUCCAUGUUGAUGCAAUAGCUACCACAUGACACAAUUCGAAUCUUGCUUUGAAUAGCAAAUUUAACACAAACAGGAGAAAUAUUUAUGUAAUCUCAUUGCCUUUACAGAUAAGCAAAUGGGUAUCAUUUUUAUUCUUCAACAUGCCACUUUAUAUUAUAAUAGCUGAGAUCUUUGUUAGUUGGUCAAAAAAAAAAAAAAAAUUGAAAAUGAAAUUUUAUUGUGGAAAACAUAUUCCUAAUUUAUUUUAUUCGUGUUUGUACACCUGCAUAGGAUUAAUAAUGGUUAGUUGAAAGUCAUUUUCUCUGCCAUCAUACAAAAAGAGACAAAGCGAUCGAAGUCAUCGAAUUUCGUCCUUUUCACCAAUCGAUGUCGCAUUAUCACUAUGCCAUCAACCAGCCAAGAUUAAGAGUUUUGUCAUAAUUAAUUCUAUAUGUUUCGGUUAAAUUAUUAAUAGUUUAACAUUGAUUUCUCCUCUUUAUUGCAUACAUAAAUUACACUUCUGAAUUUGGGACUCAAAUUGUUUUGGACGUGGUAUCUCACAUUAUUAUUAUUUUUAAUUAUAUUUUUAUUUUCAAUCAAAUUAUCUAGAAUUAACCAUGUUCUUAGGAUAGAGUUUACAAUUUACAAUAGUUUUCGUGUAAUAAUACUUUUUUAGUGAAGUGUUGUCAUGUGUAUAUUUAUUUAUUUUAAGUAUUAAUUGCAAGGUAUACAAUAUAAAUAUAUAUAUACACACACACAGGGGGAUGCAUUUUAAACUUUCUUAAUUCUCACCAUAUAUAUAUAUAUAUGUUAAUGAAUUUGUAACAUUAUUUAUACAAAAGUUUAGUAUAGACUAAGUUGGUAGAUUAGAACCAAUGAAUGAAUGAAUUGAUUGGAUAAAGGUAUCUCAUAUCUGUUUUCAUUCUUCUUAAUCAAUCCAUUCAUGACUUUUAAGCUGUCAAUUUUAAUUUGUAAAAAAAGUUUGUCCAGUUUUGUGACUGUAUUAUUAUUAUUAUUAUUCUAUUGGUAGUAAUAUGGUUGCAUAAUUUUAAAAUAUCGAACUACAAAGGAAACUAGAGGUCAUUUUUGUAAGUUGCAGUGACAUAUUUGUAUAUGCUUGAAUUGAAUACCCUUAAUCAAAACAUUUCAUUCUACGUUAAAGCAGUUGAUGAAAACUUGAAAAGAUGUGUUUAAUCAUCGAGUAUACUGAAAUUAAAAAUCUCUCACUCUCUAUACACACACGCAUAUAUUAAUCUUCAUACAAAAACUAACAUAAAAGUUUAAGUAAUUAAUUUGUUAUCUGUUCGAUAUGGUAGUAAAGAAAAAUGUUAAUUAAAAGGUGAUUAAUUAAGCAAGGAUUUAGCACUGGAAAAAAAAAUCUUGAGUGCUCCAAGAAUAUUGUAUUGUUUAUUUUCCAUUCAUUGUUGCUAAGGGCAGAGGAUGUAUAUGGUUAAUCAGGUUAGAGGGACUCGGAGAUUUUGAAGAAAUCGUGGGGUUUUUUUUUUUUUUUAUAUAUAAAAUAUGAAAAGUUAGUAUAAAAAAAAUCUAAUUUGGCCAUGCAAUCCAUAAAUUUAUAUAUUAUAUAAAAAUGUCAUUUUAUAACUCCCCUAGCAUUAAUGUUAAAACAAAUUCAUAUAUUAGUAAAUAAAAAUAAUAAAAAUUGGCCCUACACCCUUAAUCCAUGACUUGGAUAUUUGAAGUAUGAAUUUGGUGCACAUAGAGUUUUUCUCCGGCUCCUAAUUAUUUCCACUUGGAUGCUUCAAUAAAUAAUAAAAAUAUAUGUACACAUCUGAUAAAAAGUGAAUAUAAAGUUUUAUAGGAGGAUAAAUAGCUUUUUUUAUCUCGAAAACUCUUAAAACACAACCAGCACAUGCAACGUCAAAAAAUUUCAAAAAGAAUUUUUGCGUCUAAAUAAACCAUAUCAAUAUUUUACCUUUAUCUCUACAUUAUUAUUUCAUUUAUAUUACAUAUGAUUCAUUGAGAUGAUAAAAUUUUUAAUAUUUUUUAAACAAGUUUCCAUGAGCCAGUCCAGUUGAUUUAAAAUUUUACAGUAAAGAUAAAAGACAAAUGGUUCAAUCUCCAUUUAUACCAACUUGAAAUGGGAUAAAAUUUUGGAUUAAAAUUUAAUGCUGAGCUUUUUUUUUUUUAAUUUCUGAGCACUAAAUCAAUGGUCAAAAUUUAUUUUAAAUUUUUAUUUUUUUUAUUUUUCUUACAUAACAAUUAUUGAUUCAGUGCUCAGUAAAAACUCAGUUCAACACUGAAUUCUUAUCCUAAAAUUUUAUUGAGGUUAAGACCAGUUAGGUGCCUAUUAACUGAAAAAAUUACUCAUCUUCAAAUGACUUGUUCUUUAAUUAUAAAUGAAUGUGAUUUUUGAAUUGAUUUUUUUAUUAAAAAAAAAGAUAAAAAUCAUUAGACGAUGAAAACAUUUUGAUUGCAUACAACGAAUUUAAUUUAAAGUACAUGAAUAUAUAAUUUAUUAAUUUUUUUAUAACUAUGAUCCAAUUACAAAUAAUUAUAUAAAUUAAACUAUCAACAUAAGUGACAAUAAAGGAUUAGUAGAAAAAGUAAAAUCAAUUAAUGAAACAAGCGGAUUUAGACAGCUGUUUGGGUUUAUAUUAUUAUUUAAUAUUUUUAUAAUUAUUUCUUGCUUAAAGCAAUAAGGUCAACUUUUUUUUCCAAGGAAGGUCAACGUUCAAUAUUCACGUUAAUGAGAUUUGAAAGGCACACCUAUCAAAGAAAGAAAAAUAUCAGGCGGGCUAAUGCUGUAAAUUAUUCCUUAAUUUGAGUUAUUUUUAUAAAUUCCUGGGUCAAUCCACAAAGUGACAAGUGAAGACGGAAGUGCUCAGUCAUUAACUUUAAUGGGCCCCACGAAAAUCCAUUCAAACUUCGGAGAGAAGAGACCUAAAACCUUUGUACAUUUCAAAAUCGGCCCCAAACGAAUUUCAAUUUUGAAAAUUUUAACUACACCCUUGCUUCUAUCGGAUAUUCAAAAAGCAGCAGAUCUCAUCCGUACACGUGUCCCCAAAGCGGAAAAUUAUAUCCUUUUUCUGUUCCAUUACCGCCAAAUUCCACCCCAUCGCUUUCCUAGAAUAAAAACCUAAAACCAUCUGAAUCCAACGGCCAAUAAAUCCUCAGCAGUCUUUCACUCAAUAUCAUCCGUCAAACAAAUUAUUUCAAUUUCGCCCGUCGGAUCAUCCACGCCUCGCAUCCAACCGUAAAAUAUUCACCAAAUUUCAAUUUCAAAGAAAACGAGAGGGAGGGGAGCAACAAACGAUAGCCAAUAGCCUUUAAGCCUCUCUUCCUCCGAUUGUAGAUUUCAUCAAUUUCUAUCAAAUUUGCGCGCCGCCGUGUUCAGCAAACCGACGCCGUUUCGAAGCUUGAUUUGGUUUAAAUUUUCGACGUGUAUAAGUAAAAAUCCUCAUUCCGUCGUCCGUACCAAUCGGUGCUUACGUUAGAUUCAGGUCAGCAGUUUAGCGGCUAGCGUAUACAAAACGACAUUGUUUAGCUGCCAUUUUUUGGAGAUAGGAUCUCAAGAUAUUUGAAUUUCGUAUUUGUUAAAUUGAAUAUUCAUUUAUGGUUAUAAAAUUUAUUUAAAAAAUUAAUGGAACAAGGCGAGACGAUUUCUGAUUUUGCCCCAAAGAAAUUGGCGAGGCAAUUGGAUUUCACCAUUUGCCGAGCGUCGGCCAACGGCUUACUGCCGGAGCAGUCGGUAAAGUCACAGUCUUCACAGCCUCAAUCACACUCGCCGUUGCAGCCACAGCCGCCAAAAUCGCAGCCGCAAGUGCAAUCGAAGGUGGCGUCCCCGUCACAGUCACAGCCACUUGUACGAUUGCAGUUACUGCCACCGUCGUCACAACCACAUGUGCAAGCACAUAUGAGGUCACCGUCACAGGCAAUGCCGCAAUGGCAAGCACGGCCGCAGCACGUGCGAAUGGUGAAUCGGGUCCCACAUCCAGUGCAUAAACUUCCCCUACCGACACUGCCUCCUGGGUAAGUUUUUGAAGCAAUUGUGAUUUAGGAAUUUAAAAUUCUAGAUGAUUGAUUUAAGUUUGAAAAUAAGCUAUUAUUGUAUGCUUAAGUUAUAGACGCUUAUGUUAAUCUGCUUGUUUUGUUUAUUGAUGGAUGAUUUAUAUAACAUUUGUUAAUAGACGUUGAGUUGUUUUUGAAUUUCUGGUAUACUUGGGAUAAAGUUGAAGGGGAUUAGGCUGUAGAUGAAAUUCAUAAUCUUGUAGAAUAUUAUCUAUAAAAUUAAUUUUGCCUUGUUAGAUAUUAUACUAUAGUGAAUUAUAAUAAAAUCUGUUUGGAUAACUUAAAUGAUACUUUGAAGGUCUUAGAAGCACACUUUAUAUUCAGUUAUAAUAAGGACAUGAAGUUUUUGUGCAAGUUAAGAGGAUAAUUAUGGAUACUGAGUAUCCAAAACAUUAGAUACAGAUACUCAAGCUUAUUUGUGUCAAAAGAAGUUUGAAUUGGGUGUACGCAUCUGAACUCAUUUUUUUUUUUUUCAAAUUUCCUUGCCAUUCUACUUCUGUGCUCUUUGUUGCAAUUGGGCCUUUAGCAUUUAAUAUGCACUCAUUUUGUGAUCCUAAAGUUGUUGCCUUUUUUCGCCUGUAUAUCAAUAACAUUUGGACCUCUUGGUUUGAUAAAUAUGCUUUUACUUAUAUAUUUUUUCCGCUUAAGUCUAAGCUCACCUUCUGCUGAUAAUGGUUUUGUUUCUGCAUUUAAAGAAGCAAGCUUGAAAUUGGUACAGAUGUUCCUAGAUGCUUAUGUAUACACUAUAUUAAUGUUUUUUAACUGCUCUUCAUUAUGUGUUUUGUUUCCCUCAGAAAGCAAGAGUCCCCUAGAUCACGACCGCGGGCUAACACUGAUGGAAAGGAUGGUACUCCAAAGAAACAAAAGCAAUGUAAUUGCAGAAACUCUCGCUGCUUGAAGUUGUAAGUACAUUGCUUGGUUUUCAGCCAUGGAGAAUGUUUCUGUUUUCCUUUUGUCUUUCCCACUAAAUUAUAAUCGUUGAUACCCCACAGAGACUUUGUGGAGAUUUGGAUCAACAUCUAUUCCAACACUUCACCAGGGGCACAUCUUAACACCCAAUUCAAAGAUAACUUAGUGAAGUAGAUUACAUCUGGAGCUAAAAGACUUUAGCACUUCAAAUUUGUCCUUACGAUCUCAACAACCAAAUUUUUGCAAUUGUUAGGUACUGUGAGUGCUUUGCUGCUGGAAUUUAUUGCGACGGAUGCAAUUGUGUAAAUUGUCACAAUAAUGUAGAGCAUGAGGUUGCUAGGCAAGAGGCCGUUGGAGCGACAUUAGAGCGUAAUCCAAAUGCAUUCAGACCAAAAAUUGCUAGCAGUCCUCAUGGAGCUCAGGAUGCUAGGGUAUGUUAUCUGACUUGAUUGAGUCUUGAAACAGUGUUUCCUAGCAUAGUAAAAUUGUUAAGUCCUACAGUGCUCUUGUGUUGACGUCAUCUGACUGAAUUAAGUGCUGAGAACAAGUUCAUAAUGGAGAAUAUAGGUUAUGUUUUAUUAUAGAAAAUUGCUUCUUUGGAUAAAAUAAAAGCGAAAUGAUGAAUACAUUCAUGAAACCUCUGUAUUGGUUCCUUUGCCCCCUGGUGUUUAUGAUCUUCAGUAGCAUUUAAUGUGUCUCAAAACAACUCAGGAAGAUGCACGGGAAGCUCAACUGGCAGCGAAGCACAACAAAGGAUGUCACUGCAAGAAAUCAGGGUGCCUCAAGAAGUAUUGUGAAUGCUUCCAAGCCAAUAUUCUAUGCUCCGAAAACUGUCGAUGUUUAGACUGCAAAAACUUUGAAGGAAGUGAAGAAAGGAGGGCUCUCUUUCAUGGAGAUCAUAAUGGUAUUGCCUUUAUGCAAAGAGCCGCCAAUGCUGCGAUUAUUGGGGCUGUUGGUUCAUCUGGAUAUGGGACUCUUAUGACGUCAAAUAAGAGAAAAAGUGAGGAACUCUUAUUUGGUGUUGCCGCCAAAGAUCAGUCCGUCAUCAGAAAUCCACAAAGUCAACAGGUAAUUUUUUAUUGCAUCCUUAGAUGUCUGAAUAUAUAUGUUUAUGGAUCAAGAUUCAAGACCACCAAUUGGAUGAAUUUUACAUAUGUAACUUUAUGUUUUCAGUGAUGCCUUUGUUUGUAUACAUGUGUAUAUGUACACGUAUAAAUUUUGGCUCAUUCUUCUUUUUGGUAUGCAGUAGUUUAUGUUAGAAUUCACAAAAUAAAUGUGAUGGUUGCUGACUGUGAUAACUUUCACCCAUCAGGGAAACAACGUACAAAAUUCUGCGGUCCCUUGUUCCCAGUCUGUCCCUGUUUCUCAGACUGCCAAUGCAUCAGUACUGGGCUCUACAAAAUCAGCCUUAAGGUAAUCCAUCCCCCUUCUACCCCACUUUCCCCCUUUUUCUUGGGUUCAUCUUUUUCCUCAGCGGCAAAUUUUUCUUUAAUUUCCGAUCAAACUCUAAUUGGCAUAUUUUCAUGACUGAAGAUCUCCUUUGGCGGACAUCCUCCAACCACAGGACAUGAAGGAGCUGUGCUCACUUUUGGUCAUGGUUUCAUCAGAAGCUACAAAGACACUUACAAGUAUUUAUCAUUACAUUCAAAUAUUUUUUAUUGCUUGUUUCUCUGCAUAAGUUUGGUUUUAAUAUUUCCCAAAUAUAUUGCUGGAAUGGCUAUAAUUUCUCUAUUUUUUUUAGGAAGAAAAACAAUAAUUUCUCUAUUACUAAGUCUGUUUUAGAGUGGUUUGGUUUUUAAGUUUGUAACUUUAUCUCAAUUGCAGCACAAUGUGCUAUUGCAUGAAUUAGUUUUCACUACAUGAAAGAAUUUGAAAUUAACAGUUAUUUUCACAUGUUCAAGACAAUUCGGAAACAUUAUAAUCUACUCUCAAAUUAAAAAUCAUCAUCUCUUAUCUCGGGAAACCUAGCCAAAUUUAACUUGUAUUUAUAUCUUUUAAAUAUCAUUUACAAGUACAUUUCCAUUGUAUAGCAGUAUGUCUUGGAUGUAUUUUGAUAUGAAAUUCUUAUUCAAUACUGAUUUUCUUUAAUGCUAUGAGUUCUAUUUUUCAUUUGUUCGUCCAAUUUAUCGUGAUAAAAGAUUUGAGAAUCUUAUAUUUUAUUUACUCUGUUUAGUAUAUUUGAUUUUCUUUCAAAAUGUAGGAUUCAUGAAAUGCAAAUAUUUGUCGAGGUAUGGUGUUUUUCUUUGACCAUACCACAAGGUUUCAGUGUAAAAUCUAGUAUAUUUAUUUACCAUAAUUAUCUUUUAGUAUCCAUUAUUUAUUUAUUUAUCUUUCAAAUUUGGCUGUUGUAUCCUGUAAAUUAAUUGAAAUUUUCCAAGUUUUGCUUCUAUACUUCCAAUAUUCUAGGGGCAAGCUGUAAGUAUAAUGAGUAGGAAAUUUUUUAUAGACAUUAGCACUUCAAAACUCUGCCUUAGGUAAUCUGUACAUUUCUUAGCCUGCGGUUUGAUUAUUUGAACAUGUUAUUGAAUUAGUGGUAAUAUGGUAAAAUAUGGUUCAUUUGUAUCACGUAAUAUUGUUUGACAUCUGUAAUUCAAAAUCUGCAGAAAAAGUAGGUGCAAUGCAAACAGAGAGAGAGGGUUCUAGAUCUUCUGUUGCUUCACCCAUUCAGGAGGGUGAAGAUAGUAGAAAAGGACAUGAAGUUCACAAUGGUAUCCCUGAUGAUCGCCAGAGUGGGAAUCAAAUGGAUGUGGAUGGAACCAGCGGUUCUGGGUCAGAUGGUGGUGAUAUGCUAAAUGAAAGGCCAUUGUCUCCUGGAACACGUGCAUUAAUGUGUGAUGAAGAGGAUUCAGCAUUUAUGCAAGCUGGGCCACAAACAGGGUUGGCAAGUAAAAGCACGGUCCAGAAAUCUAAUGCGUAUGCAUCCACAAGAAUCUACGCUGAGCAAGAAAGACUCAUCUUGACAAGGUUCCGGGAUUUUCUUAACCGACUCAUAACUUGUGGGAGCAUAAAAGGUAAUUGUUUUUUUAAGAUUUAAAAUUUAAACUUUUAAUUUGUAAAGUAGAAAACACUGGGUUUUUUGUGAUGUCGCAAACCCUUUCCCGAAAUUGUUGUUUGAAAACUUGCAAUUCUCAUGUUUUGAAUUUUGUUUUGUUUUGUAACUGUAAGAGGCAUUUCGAUAGUUGUGCUCCGUUUCUAAACAUCUCUAGUUUUGGUUGGUUUAAAGAGGCAUUAGGCACUUCCAUUAUUGUGAUGUAGCGCUGAAGUGAACGUCUGUCCAUAGAUGAUAGUUACUCGUGUGGUGAUAUAAAGGAGUGUUUGAAGUUUCGAUCAUAGAAUGGUUUUGAAGUCAUAUAGAAAUGGAUGGCAUGCCCUUAAAUCUUUAAGUCAAAUUGUAAUACAAUCUAAUGAUGAAGAUAUAAAGUAAAAAAGGUAGCAUAUACUAUCGCCAACUAGUCCGUCCUCUCUGCAGUGCAUUGAAUAGAUCAAGGGGUGAGAAUUUGUGUAAAAUUUUAGGUCAAAAUUUCAGUGAAGGGAAUCAGAGUUCAUGGAGUUGAAAUUCAAGACUAAGUCGAAAUUGGGUGCAAGAGAAAUUGUCAUUUCCUUAAUACUAUAGACAUGGGAAAGAUCCUUCCAAAAUGGAUGUUUUCAUUUUCUUCCUAGCACUUGCAGUUGCAUAUCUUCCAUUUUUUAAAACUAAAUUGACAAAUGAUGAUAUAACUUGUUGCAUGUUGCAGAAACAAUGUGUUCUCCGCUGGUCAAAAGUGAAACAAGAAGCCAACAAAAAGCUGUAGAAGAUGGCACCUCAAGAUCUGGAACGGAGGUAAGGGGUUACAUGGAGCCUUGUGGCUAUGGCAGUGCUAAAUCUGCAGUUUCAGUGACUCUGGAACCAUCUUGUACUACCACUUCAGUCUCUUCCAGGCAGAAUAAUGAUCUGCCUAUGAGGGUUGGCUUGUCCAAUGGACAGAGAGUGGUAGAUUCAGAGAUUAGGAACCGCAACUGACAACAAAGAUAUCACCAGAAAAGAUGUUCCCUGAAGAUGAACUGUUCUUCAUGUAGUUAAAAGGAAGUUUCCCAGGUUCCUACAACUAGAAAUGUUCUCGACCUAACACCGCUAUUUAAUUAUUAAUAAUUAUUUUUAGGCCUUUUAUCGCUCCUUUCCUGGUGCAUAUCACUUAUGCCAAGUUCCUUGUAUAAGGUUUAGUCUUGAGACAUUGUCCGCUGAUCUGCUUGUUCAGAUAAUCAUAUGCCUCAAGUUCGAGUAGUCUGUGACUUUGUAAUUUAUUUGACGAAUCCUAUUUGCCUGGCUACCUUUUCAUAGGAUCGGCCGAAGCGGCAAAUAGCAUGGCAUUAUUCGCCUGAACAGAUAAUGAAUGCAGCUUCCUUGAACUUUCCGGAACUGGUUUUUCACUCAGUAAUGUUAAUUCAUGUAGCUUCCUUUUAACCUUCGUUUCCCGUUCAUUUUCAUUUCAGACAAAACUCGUUUCUGCAACUCUUCUUUCCUAUACCGAAUGUUGCUCAGAUGAUGCCAGCGAACCGUACAGAAACGUAAUUUUCGACAAUAAUGGGAUUUAUUUAUUCGUUUUCAAUCUAGAACAAGCCAAAACACCAGAUAGAUGCCCAAACAAAAAAGAAAAGAAAAAAAAAAUUAAAGCUCUUCAUGUUCACAAACUCUUUUUGAGGAAACUUUAUCUGAGAGAAAGAGAUACGAGGGGAAUGAUGAAGCUUCUCCAUUCUUAUCUUCCGCGUCCAAACAGCGGCACUGCUCCCAGUCCCACAUGCAUCCCACCAUCGACUACGCACGUGCAACCAUUAAAAAGCUGCCCACGUGCUCCGCACGUGCGAAUCUACCCGCCAAAAAAAGGCAACAAUGAGUGCGCGAUCCAAAUAAUUAAAAACGAAGCGUUCACUGACGCAACUACGCAAAAACAAAUGGAAAAAGCAGAGAGUAUUCCAAUUGACGCUGAGAAGAUUCGAUGUGAAUUUUUCAAUUUCUUGCGAAGCAAACGAUCCGCAGAAGGUAAAAUCUAAAUCAAUUAUUUAAAAAAAGAAAAGAAAAGAAAAAGAAAAGCGUUCGAGUGCUAUGUUUGUUUAGUUUAUCAAAUUUCGUUUCACUUCAGAAGCACUCGUUCUCGUCAGCCAAACAGCUCGUAGAUGUGUUAUUUUUGUUAAAGCAAAGUUGAUUGUAGUUUUGCAUUCUCAGUUCCGUUGACCGUGGAACACGCGCAGCCUGUGUUAAAUCCUCUUUAUCAGGAUGAUAAGCCGCCAACCAACAGCGAGGUUAUAACUUAUAUUUUGUUAUUAAUAUUAUCGUGAUCGAUGUUUUGAGGUAGAACUUGUUGAGUAUGAUUAUAAUUUAUAAAUUUCUGAAUAUUUUUUGUAAUUUUGAUGAUUUGCUAGGCUAUGGAGUCUUGUCCGAAGGCCAAUGUUGAAAAUUUUAAGAAAUUGCUCAAAGAAGAAAACCUUUACUUAUAUACCGAGGUAUCAAGAUCUUAAUUCAUUAUAUGCAUGCCGAAUUUCACCUCAGAAAUUAGAGACUUUUAAAAAAAUCGCUCAAUUUUUUGAAUUUAUCGGAGCAUUAAUGCAUGGGGGUUGUACGUGUUAAUGUUAUAUGGUUUUUUUUUUUUUUUUUAUUGCGAAGAUAACUAUUGCGUGUUGGUCAAUUUCUUUUAUAGGCUGGAGAGCAGGGGCGCUUGCCGCUAUUAAUUUUAAGCAUGAAAGAAAGUGAUAACGAAAAUAGGCCUGCUGUUGUUUUUCUGCAUAGUACACGUAAGUGCAAAGAGUGGUUGCGGCCAUUGCUUGAGGUAGGUAGUUUUCUGAGUUUACUUUGACUUUCUAUUGCAGGCAAGACACAUUUAUUUGUAUGAACUUUGUCUAUUUUGUGUGUUUCAGGCAUAUGCUUCGAGGGGAUACAUAGCCAUUGGCAUUGAUUCUCGUUACCAUGGUGAACGCGCCAGUAGCAAAACCACUUAUCGAGAUGUGUGUGCUCCGCCUUUACACUGAACUGAUUUCCUGCAGAUGUUGUCCAUGAAUUCAUCUUUGAAUUGGAAAAGCACGGAUUUUUAAAUCUUUUUGGCCAAAUGAAACUUGUUCAUUACUUAGUGGUUGCGUCAUAUGAGAAUCAGAGCAGUCAGACUUGCAUCAGUCCAAACUUCUUCUUUUUUUUUCAUUUAAAUUUCAUUAUCACAAUCUCAUUAUGCCAUUCAAAUGCAGGCUCUUGUUUCAUCAUGGAAAAAUGGUGAUACUAUGCCAUUCAUAUUUGAUACGGUAAUUCCAGUUUUGGAUUUUUUGUUUGCCAUAUCAUCUAUGUUGACUGUACUGGUUUGUGGUUUCUGAAACAUUACCUACUUACAGGAAAUUUGGUGAGUCUAGUAGUCGUAAUAAAUGGUUUUUCUUUGAGUUUUGCGUUUCUUUUAUAGCUACUAAAAUUGCCUACUUAAAGCUUUGGAUCUAUUGGUCUAGAAUUUAUAAUAUCGUUAUUAUUCAUUGUUCUGAAUAUCUUUGUCUAUGAGAAAGCAACUUAAGCAACUUAGGCUUUAGAAUCUUGCAGGCCUGGGACUUGAUAAAACUGGCAGAUUAUCUAACCCAGAGGGAGGACAUAGAUCCUACCAGGAUAGGCAUUACUGGCGAAUCCCUUGGAGGUUGGUUGAGUUAUAUUAAAAGGUGGCAAAAUUAAACUCCAUACUGCAACAUGUGGAAUUUAUGUAGUUAUUAACCAAUGCAGGAAUGCAUGCGUGGUAUGCUGCUGCUGACACUCGCUAUAAGGUGAUUGUUCCUAUUAUUGGCGUUCAGGUGUGUCUAUAAACUUGUGAAGGUUAAUAAGCAAAAGUGUAUAAAAUUUUUUUUUUUUUUGAAUAAUGUACUAAACUUCAAUGUAAUAAGAAGGUUAAUAAGCAAAAGUGUAUAAAAUUCAGGUGUGUCUAUAAACUUGUGAAGGUUAAUAAGCAAAAGUGUAUAAAAUUUUUUUUUUUUUUGAAUAAUGUACUAAACUUCAAUGUAAUAAACUGUAGGGAUUUCGAUGGGCCAUAGAGAAUGAUAAGUGGCAAGCUCGAGUUGGCAGUAUAAAGGCUGUAUUUGAAGGUAAUCUUAAAUCAGUGUUGUAUAAAUAAUGCAAUACAUAUGUUUGGCGGCAGUUGAUUACUAUUCGAAUAUGAUAGUUUUCCACAUGUAGCUUUUCAAAUGUUCUGCCAUUUGUUUGUCUGAUGCUCUUGGUUUUUUGGUUCAGAAGCAAGGACUGAUUUAGGUAAAAGCACAAUUGAUAAAGAAGUCGUAGAGAAGGUCAGUUACCGUGUUCCUGUACAUAUUCAUGCACAUUCUGUGACCUCUUUUCAUAUGCUGGUAUUGUCAUAUUAUAAUGUUCAUAUGACUAGUUAUGGCUCAAGCAUUAGCAAUCUGAUGUAGCUGCGUGAAUUUGAUAUUUCCAUCUUGUUUUCAUGCUUCAGAAGCCAACAUUUGGUUGAGUUUUCUUCUUUUACAGUGUGCAUCCGAAGUAGGAUCUCUGAUUGUUUUAUCAUUGUGAACAGGUCUGGGAUAGAAUUGCCCCUGGCCUAGCCUCCCAGUUUGAUUCACCUUAUACAAUCCCAGCUAUUGCUCCUCGUCCACUGCUGAUUAUAAACGGUAUAAUCAUUUUAUUCACUUCGAUCACGAAAAUAAUUGCUCUUCUGCUUCAGAAUCUGUUGGUUUUUUGCAUAAUUUUUUUAUAAACUACAGAUUUAGAUUUAAUGGAAACAAGAAUACAUUAAUAUGCUUAAGAAAGCAUUAAGAAAUCACAGAGAAUUGUUUUGAUCUUUCUAAGUGAUACUUUCAAACUUUUGUACUUACACCUAGCUGUAUAAAGUCUUGAGUAAAGGCCAACAAUAUCAAUUGGAGAUCUCCAAGUUUAAGCAAAUUGUUAUUGUUCUCUGUACCUAUAAAUGUGUUGAUAGGCCUAGUUCAUCUUUCAGUUUCUUUUCCCUGUCUUUCUUGCUUGAUUCAGCCCUUAGCCCAUCUUAAGACCAGCAGUCUGCUAUGUUAUUUCCAUUAAAUAUGAUCCUGCAGCUUUCUUCUGGUUUUUUUCGAUUGAUACUGACUUUUAAAUUUAAUGUUCACUUGGGUCACAAUAUUGUUUGGUUUCAAAAAUCCAGGUGCAGAAGAUCCUCGCUGUCCACUUGCAGGUCUGGAAAUUCCCAAAGCCAGAGCGCGCAAGGCUUAUGCAGAGGCCAAUUGUUCCGAUAAUUUUAAGGUAUGGACAUGUGUCAUCUGGUAGAUACAAGUACUAUAAUGUCUUACAGUUUCAUGGCUAGUUUGCAUAAUUUAUGAUUCUUUCAUCUGUACACAGGUGGUAGCAGAACCUGGAAUCGGGCACCAGAUGACGCCUUUUAUGGUUAAAGAAGCCAGUGAUUGGCUCGACAAGUUCCUCCUCAAGCAGUAAUUUGCUUAUCCAGCAUUUGACCCUUUUUUUUGGGUUAUUUGGACCUGCUGCUUUCAGAUUGUGCAUGGAUCCAUGUUCAUUCAUGUACUUAGCUUCCUUCAACCUUCGUUUCCCGUUCAUUCUCGAUACAAUAAAAUCUGUUUCUGUUUCCUAUAUUGUAUAUUAUUUUGUGGAUUGUUUUUUAAAAAAAAAACAAUAUUUGAGAACGAAAACAUAAAUUUUUUGUCUUCUGUUUAUGAUUUGGAUUUGGAAUUUUGGAUCACGUGUAUUUAGUUGCAACCUUCAUUUUGGCUGGUUUGGUUCGCAAGUGUGCGGAGCUUUUAAUACUUGCAUGUGCGUAGCAGUCGAUUGAGGUAAUAAAUGAAGUAAAAUGACUAAUUUUUGGUGAAUUUAUUUUGUUGAUUGUUUAAAAAAAAAAACAAUAUUUGAGAUUGAAAACAUAAUAACAUAUUUAGUUGUUUGUUUAGAAAUUCGAAAAAUAAUGAAAGGGAGUGAUAAAUUUUUUUUUUUUGUUAAUGUAUAUAAUUAGUGUGUUUUUUUUAGGGUAAUUUUUACUUUCCUCCCUUGAGUUUUGGGUUUUUUGCACUUAGAUGGCGAAGAUCCGUUUAUUAGUGAAAACCCCCCUAUGAAUUGCAAACGUUAGUUCUCUGUUAGUUGGUUGUGGGCACUUUGGUAAUCUCAUUUGACAAGCAAAAGUUUUACACUUUUUGGUUGACAUGAGCCAGUGAGUUGUCAAAUCAGUUUAAAAAUUUGUGUCUUAAUUUAUAAAGCAAAAUUUAUAAAACAAUUUAAAGUGGUAUUUUCUCUUUUGUGAAGCACGAUUGUGGCCUUUUCUGUUUCAACAAGCACGGUUAAGAGCUCUGUUUAGAAGGCAAUAAAAUAUUUUUUGUUGUAGAGUAGUAUCCAUUACUUGUGUAAAGUAAAUAAGAAGCACAAGACCUACAUUAUGUAUCGCUCUGAAUUUCGCUGAUGCUCCAGGAAUCCAAAUCGCUUUGUUGAAGCCGGUAAAAGGUUAGUCUCUUACAAUUUUUUUUUUUGGCCUAAUUUGGAGCGUUUUGAUACUACUCUAAGCGGAAAAUAUCGAGUGGGUGCUUGAUUUCUUGUUAAUUGACAUGAUUUUGAUGAGAUUUGUUUACUUUAAAGUAGUAAUACUCUUAUAAUAGCAUAUGUUAUCAAAUUACAUUACAAGUCCAUUAACUGUUAAAGACAUUUUCAACUUUUAUUUAGAAAGACGAGAAAAAAAAAAACUUAUCCAAAUGCACUUAGUCAUUUAUAAAAUAUUUGUUUCGGAAAUCAUUUUUUUCACGAUUGUUUGUAGAAAAUAGAAAACUAACUUUGAGAAACAAUACUAAACACCCUUGAAUAUUAUUUAAUGUUGUAAUGUAAUUAAUGGAUUAUCUUCUCACUUGUUUUAGGAUGAUUUGAACAUUGAUAUUAUAGUCACAUUCUUUGCAUUUGGUAUUUACUACAUUUUAGUUUUUUCUUUAAUAUAUGUAUCAUUUAUUUAUGUUGUUUUAUGGUAUUGCAGUGUGGUGUAUUAUGAUGUUGAAGUAGUAUUUUGGUUUAUAUGAUUUAUUGUUAG